GCCUCUCUGAGCCUCCAGCCUUGCCACAGCUGCAGUGUGGACAGGCCAGAAGAAUAGAAGGAAGCAGGAAGAGGCCAGGGCCUGCACCUCAACUGUUCCUUGUGAGAACUGUUCCUGCUCACAGUCACUGUUUCUGCUGAUGUGACAGUUCCUGCUCAUCCUUCUACAGUGACUGUCUCUGCCCACACUGACUAACGCAAACAACCUUCCUUGGAUCAUUGCUCUCUUUGAUACAUCCAAGUAUAAAGUCUGUCACAGGACACAAGGAUUCAGAGAAGGAGCCUGGGCCAAGAAGACCAGGUCUGAGACCUGGACUCAGGGAGCCAGAACCUCAGAGGCAUCUCAAGGGGCCCAAGGCAUGGAGAGGUCUCAGUUACCAUGGCGAUACUCCAGGAGGACAGCUCUUUCUCUCAGUCUCUGCUGAGGAUUGACAGGACUGUGAAGUGCUGAGUGCUGCCUCUGGCCCAUCACAAGUUACAGUAGAUCUCAUCUCUCCCCGUCACCAGCAGGACAUCAGCCAUGACCACAGCUCUGCCCAGUCUCUGUCCACUAUGAGCAGAAGCAUCCAAUGACAGCAGAUUUUGGAAAAUUAUCUAACUUUGAUGUGGGUGGAGGAACAGUGGCUUGGUGUUGUGGAUUGAAACUCAGGAGUUGGCAUGGCAGUUUCCAGAGGGCAAGAGUUUGAUUUGGGUGGUGCUCAGGGUACAGGCUCAAGUUACCAUUGUGUCUGCCAUUUGUUUGAGACAUGGUCUCGUGUCCCAGGCUGCCCUCUGGCACCCUAUAUAGCUAAGGAUGACCUUAAACUUCUGAUCCUCUUGCCUCUACUUAGCACUUGCCUAGUGCUAAGCUUAUAGGUAUGUGCCACCAUGCCCGGUAUAUAAGGCACUGGGGAUGAAACCCAGGCUAAGCCAGUGAUGUGGAAGUGGAGAUUCCAGACACUGAGUUUUAAAAGGCAGCAGCAACAGUAAGACUGGAAGCCUUCAACCUACCUAGGUGUGUGUCAAUCAAGGGUGCAUGCCCCAAAAAGCCAGAAUUAGGAACUUGAGUGAGGUUAGUUCUGUGUAAAUGACCCAUAAGUGGCUCAGCCAUCCUCUCCUCUAGUCUUGAAGCCAGGUCACAGAUGAGGUCUGGCAAAUCUCCAAGCUCCUCUGCAUUUCUUCUGAAAUAACCCAUCUCCCUUCCUGUAAGUCUCAAUUUAUACAGAGGCACACAUGCCCUCGAACUCCAGUGACUGUCUUCCAGACUCAAGCUGGAGUCUCUAACUCAAGCACUCUACCAACUGAAGCAUCAGCCCCAGCCAACCAAGGAACAAGCCAACAAAUCAAUAACAAACACAGAAAACCCUGGGUGGCCAAGCCACAAUGUCCCUAGAGCUUUUCUCUUGAGCAGAAAGUCUUUAAGAAACAUGCCUGCUGGGACUUGGAUUAACUAAGUUCCUGUGACAUAGUCUCUCUCUAACCUAGGCAUGUCUGGAGUUCUCCAUCAUCCUGCAUCUGCCUCCUAGAUGCUGGGAUCACAGUGUGUAUUUGCACACUCUGCCGCUCAGAACCUGGGUCCCAGAGCAGCAGCAAUAGAAUAGGGGACUCAUGAAACACAUUAGGUGAUGAAGGUCCAUCUUCAGGAGUGGUGGAUAGAUGUUAUUACAAAAGACCCAAUCCUAGUCCAAGAAAUGCCAAUCUCAUGUUCUGAUAAGUGUGGACUGUAUUGUGUUUCAGAUGACCACGUGGCUCCCCAGAAAUGUGCACAAUCAGUUAUAUGUCAACUAAAACUCUAGCUAGGCAUUUGAGGAUUGUCUUGUAAAGGCUUGAAACAGAGCUGGUCUCCAGUUCACUCCAAUUCCUCUUGCUCCACUCCUUUCCAGUACUGAUGACACACCAUGAAGGCCAGACGCCAGUACCAGACACUUGAACUUCAGAAAAGUGACCCAAACAUAUUCUCAUGCAUAUAAGUUACCCAGACUCAGACAUUGUGCAAUUGUAGGUUAUCCACCUUUCCAGCUUUUCUCAAACAGUCAUUAUUGUCCUUAAGUCUCUGGCCUCCAGGGAACCUCCAGCAUCUCAUUCAUUCAUCCAUCCAUUCAUCCAUUCAUUCAUCCAUCCAAUCAUCAAUCCAUUCAAUUCAUUAAUCCAUCCUUUCACAAAGAAUAUGCUUAGUAUCUGUAUGCCAGAUGAUGAAGAAAUCACUAGGGUUACAACUUCCAAAGUGUUAACAAUGACCACAUCACACCCUUCUCCAACCAGGACCUUUGCACAAACUGUCUCCCUACCUUAAAUGCCAGUUGUCUCUUCUCUGUCCCUAUGGACUCUUUAAGUCCCCUGUUACCUAGAAGCCUUCCAGAUGCCCAUCACACAGGAGAUCAGGAUGUCCAGAGUCCUCUACAUUGAAUGACUAUCAGUGAGAGACCAGCACUUGUCCCCAGGCCACUCCCACACUUGGCUUAUUUCAUCCAGGUUAAGGGCCCAAUAGAUCGAGCUUGCCAUGACUCUAACAUCUUUUCAAAGAAGCAACCAGCCAAGUCCCUUGGAAAGUUGGGUGGCCCUCUCCAGUUUAUGUCAGAAGGAGACGAGGUCUGUUUAGAGUUCCAGGUUCCAGGGUCCCCAGAGAUGUAUUGGGUCCUGACUGGGACUAGUUCAUGCCGUCAGCUCUGGACUUCCCCUGUGGCCUCUGAGAACCACUGGGUAACUAUUGCAAUGUCCUCCCUUCUGUCAGAUGCUUGGAGAACAGAACCAGGUCUACAGCCACUGUCUGCAUUGGAUGGGAGACAGGGAACAGGAUCUCAGAGGCCAGGGGAUUGGUGUGAGAAAGGGGAUCAUUCGUGUGGCAGACCAUGGCUCAAUGGCCACUAUACCAUGGCCUUAUGCUUUAUGCAGUAUGAGGUAUCCAAGCCCCAGCCCUUUCCUGAAAGCCAGAAAAGAAAGGAGAGUGAAAUUAGGAGAAAUACAGGACUAAUGAGAGAGGAACAGGAGAAAGUGAACCAGGGAUGGAAAGAGGUAGAGGCAGACAGAUAGAAACAGACACAGAGUGACAGAGACAGACACCAAAAGACA